rnacentral:rRNA from 1 species
AUUGAACGCUGGCGGCAGGCCUAACACAUGCAAGUCGAGCGGAGCGGCGGACGGGUGAGUAAUGCCUAUGAAUCUGGCUGGUAGUGGGGGAUAACGACCGGAACCGGGAGCGAAUACCGCAAACUUGCAGUUGAGCCUAAGUCGGAUUAUCAAGUGGGAGGGGUAAAGGCAUACCAAGGCCACGGUCCGUAACUGGUCUGAGUGGAGGAUCAGUGACACUGGUACUGAGACACGGGCCAGACUCCGACGGGAGGCAGCAGUGGGGAAUAUUGGACAAUGGGCGCAAGCCUGAUUCAGCCAUGCCGCGGUUGUGAAGAAGGCCUUCGGAUUGUAAAGCACUUUAAGUUGGGAGGCGUUACCCGCAGAAGAAGCACCGGCUAACUUCGUGCCAGCAGCCGCGGUAAUUC